rnacentral:rRNA from 1 species
CGAAGGGGGCUAGCGUUGUUCGGAAUUACUGGGCGUAAAGGGUGCGUAGGUUGUAUGGUUAGUUAGUGGUGAAAGCCCAGGGCUUAACUCUGGAAUUGCCAUUAAAACUGCCAUGCUAGAGAGUGAUAGAGGUGAGUGGAAUUUCUAGUGUAGGAGUGAAAUCCGUAGAUAUUAGAAGGAACAUCGAUGGCGAAGGCAGCUCACUGGGUCACAUCUGACACUGAGGCACGAAAGCGUGGGUAGCAAACAGGAUUAGAUACCCUGGUAGUCCACGCCCUAAACGAUGGAUGCUAGAUGUCGGGACAUUAGUUUCGGCGUCGUAGUUAACGCGUUAAGCAUCCCGCCUGGGGAGUACGGUCGCAAGAUUAA